GGAGGAAAAGAAACCAACACGGGAUUGCCUCAGUAACGGCGAGUGAAGCGGCAACAGCUCAAAUUUGAAAGCUGCCAACAGGCCGCGUUGUAAUUUGUAGAAGCUGCUUUGGGUGUCGGCCCGGUCUAAGUUCCUUGGAACAGGACGUCAUAGAGGGUGAGAAUCCCGUAUGUGAUCGGUGCCGGUGCCCGUGUAAAGCGCUUUCGACGAGUCGAGUUGUUUGGGAAUGCAGCUCAAAAUGGGUGGUAAAUUUCAUCUAAAGCUAAAUAUUGGCCAGAGACCGAUAGCGCACAAGUAGAGUGAUCGAAAGAUGAAAAGCACUUUGGAAAGAGAGUUAAACAGUACGUGAAAUUGUUGAAAGGGAAACGCUUUGAAGU
rnacentral:rRNA from 1 species